ensembl:misc_RNA Metazoa_SRP Metazoan signal recognition particle RNA
GCUGGGUGUGGUGAUGCAUGCCUGUAAUCCCAGCUACUUGGGAGGCUGAGGCAGGAGAAUUGCUUGAACCCAGGAGGCAGAGGUUGCAGUGAGCCAAGAUUGUGCCACUGUACUCCAGCCUGGGUGACAGAGCAAGACUUUGUCUCAA